AGGCAAAAGCCUGACUGAAGUGGGUUCAAGAAGGACUGGGAGGAGAGGCCAUCGAAGGCCGAGUAUAUGAACACUUCUUUGAAGGAUUUUUUUUUUUCUUUCAAAAGGAGAGAAAUGAAGUGGUGGCUGAAAAGCUGAGUGUGAUCAAGAACUUUUGUGUGGUGGGAGUUAGAAGAGUAUGUUUUAAUGCUUACUUUUACUUUAAUGGAGGAGCUGAAAGGGGUGGAACCUAGUGCACAAAAGACACAAGCCAGAUGUACUGACUGAUGGGUAUUUAAUGUGUAACAACAGGGUAAAGGGAGCAGCUCUGAAGAGGGCAGAUGACAAAAGCAAAGAAUCGGAAAAGCAUGGAGUGAGCAGUUCUGAGCUGGAGUGCAGGGAUGGCUGGGAAGAAGGGCAAGAGAAGGAUUUGGGAGUUCCCCAGUGGCUCAGGGGGUUGAGGGCCCAGCAUUGUCAGUGAUGUGGCACGGAUUCAAUUCCCUGGCCCAGGAAUUUCCGCAGGUCCUGGGCACAGCACAGAAAAAGAGAGAGAGAGAGAGAGAAGGAUUUGGAGGAAUGGAUUGGGGUCAUGUCACGGAAAGCCUGGGAUCGGGUGCUGCAAGAUCUCAGUUAACUGAAGAACAGUGGAAGGGUUUUGAGCAGGGAAGGACAUGUGCAGAGAGGAAUGUCAGAGCAGACCAGGGAGAAGAGCAUCCCCAGCAUCUGUUCAACACUCAUACUGGACGCCCUAGAGGUGUCAAGAGAGAGAAAUCCCGUGGGGAGAUCCUCACCAAAGCCUCCCUUUGCUUUUUGGACAAAGGUUUGGUUUAUUACUGCAUUUCUUCACUUGACAUCGAAAGCAGGGCUGGAUGUCUUCUUAUUUUAUUCUUGUUGUUAACCUCAGUUCUUCUGCCAUAUGCUGGAAUUUAGGUAUUCUUCCCUAAAAGAAAAAAAAAAAAAGGCUUCUUUUGUCUCUUGAGCAGGCCAGGCAACCUCUUCCUGCUUUCAGUGUGAAUUUUCUUAACAUUAUCCGCUUAUAGCCUAAAACAUAGUCAAGUUCUGGGCUAAGGCACUUAGCCUCUGCUGGCCAAAUCUGGCCAAAUGCUCUGUCCUUCCCCUCCAACGUGACAAAUGCCUGUCCCUUUCAUCCAUGUAGACAUGGAGGCUAGCAAAAGAUAUUGUGUGUUGGAGUUCCCGUCGUGGCUCAGUGGUUAACAAAUCCGACUAGGAACCAUGAGGUUGCGGGUUCAAUCCCUGGCCUUGCUCAGUGGGAUAAGGAUCUGGUGUUGCCAUGAGCUGUGGUGUAGGUCAAAGACGCAGCUCAGAUCUGGCGUUGCUGUGGCUGUGGUGUAGGCCGGUGGCUACAGCUCUGAUUAGACCCCUAGCCUGGGAACCUCCAUAUGCUGCGGGCACAGCCCU
rnacentral:lncRNA from 1 species